GACUCUCGACAAUAGAUAUCUCGACUCUCGUAUCGAUGAAGAACGCAGCAAAAUGCGAUAGUUGGUGUGAAUUGCAAAAUCCCAUGAACCAUCAAGUCUUUGAAUGCAAGUUGCGCCUGAAGCCAUUAGGUUGAGGGCACGUCAGCUUGGGUGUCU